GGUCCUAUGGUGUAAUGGUUAGCACUCCCGACUUUGAAUCCAGCGAUUCGAGUUCAAAUCUCGGUAGGACCU
rnacentral:tRNA from 1 species